CCUAAUUAGAAGGGUUGAGUUUAGAUCCUAUCCAGUAGAAGGACCCUGUCCUUUCGGAGGAUAGGAAAUAGCUUGCUCAAUGUGAAUAAACUAGUUCCUAUCCUUCUAAAAGACUUUUUUGCCCCCUACUAGUCAGGUCCUGUAUGGAGAUUGGAACUAUCCAGCUCACUGUGAGAGAGCAAGUUCCUAUCCUGCUAAAGGACAUAUUGCUCCACAGUGUUCUGGCCCUCUUACAGGAUAG